CCGCGUUGGCAGUGUGGUUAGCUGGUUGUUUAUGUCAUAACAACAGCCACUAGCGACACUGCCUCUGCGU
ncrna:Manduca sexta (tobacco hornworm) microRNA mse-mir-34 precursor